rnacentral:lncRNA from 1 species
CACACCUAGAAUUCAAGCACUUAGAGAAGGCUGAGGCGAGAGGAUUGUUUGAGGGUAGCCUGAGCUAUAAGGAAAGACCCUGUCUCAAGAAAAUUAAAAAACAAAAUUACAGAGGUUGGAGAGAUGGCUCAGUGGGUAAGAGCACUGACAGCUCUUCCAAAAGUCCUGAGUUCAAAUCCCAGCAACCACAUGGUGGCUCACAACCAUCUGUAAUGAGAUCUGAUGCCAUAUUCUGGUGUGUCUGAAGACAGCUACAGUGUACUUGUAUAAUAAUAAUAAUAAUAAUAAUAAUAAUAAUAAACUUUAAAAAAGAAAAGAAAAA